GUCACAGCCACAGGCAUUAUGGCUUCUGGAGUUACAGUGAAUGAUGAAGUCAUCAAAGUUUUUAAUGAUAUGAAAGUAAGGAAAUCUUCUACACAAGAGGAGAUCAAAGAAAGAAAGCAGUUCUCUUCUGUUUAAGCGACGACAAAAGACAAAUAAUCGUAGAGGAAGCAAAGCAGAUCUUGGUGGGUGACAUUGGUGAUACUGUAGAGGACCCCCUACACAUCUUUUGUGAAGUUUCUACCUCUGCAUGGUUGCCAAUAUGCUUUGUACGAUGCCAUCUACGAAACAAAAGAGUCUAAGAAAGAAGACCUAGUAUUUAUAUUCUGGGCUCCUGAAAGUGCACCCUUAAAAAGCAAGAUGAUUUAUGCUAGCUCUAAAGAUGCCAUUAAAAAGAAAUUUACAGGUAUUAAAUACGAGUGGCAAGUACAUGGCUUGGAUGAUAUUAAGGACCCAUCAACACUCGGAGAGAAAUUGAGAGGCAAUGUAGUAGUUUCACUUGGAGGAAAACCAUUAUAAAAUGACCAUCAAGUGCCAUCUGGGUCUUAAGGGGUUUCAUUUCUCCAGCUCAGUCCAUUGGAAUAGCAUUAGGUGUUUUUUUCAUUUUUUUGUUUUUGUUUUUCCCUUUCCUCUGGGCCCUUCCAACACAGUGAAUGAAGGAGAUAUCGUUCAUUUAAGCAGCCUGUCAGUGAUUACCAUUAGACUCUUCAAUACGGUUACUUUUAUGUAGAAGGAAUACCUUCCUGUCUUUAUUUAAGCCCAAACAACUGGUUAUAUGCCUCCUUUGCAGCAAGCACUACAAUGAAUGUGAUUAUCAAUGUGAACAGUCUAGAAUACUGCAAAGGGUAAGCAGAUUGAAUGCCUUGAAAGUAUUAUCCACGGGUCAGAUGGUGAACUUUUUUCAGUAUUAUUUAUAGUUGCACUUGAUUUUAGUUCUGUGAGGCUCUGGAGCAUUCAUACACUUCACCUGCCUUGGCAAG
rnacentral:lncRNA from 1 species